AUUGAACGCUGGCGGCAGGCUUAACACAUGCAAGUCGAGCGCGCGGCGGACGGGUGAGUAAUGUCUGGGAAACUGCCUGAUGGAGGGGGCUAACUACUGGAAACGGUAGCUAAUACCGCAUACCAUCAGAUGUGCCCAGAUGGGAUUAGCUAGUAGGUGGGGUAAUGGCUCACCUAGGCGACGAUCCCUAGCUGGUCUGAGCGGAUGACCAGCGACACUGGAACUGAGACACGGUCGAGAAUCCUACGUGAGGCAGCAGUGGGGAAUAUUGCACAAUGGGCGCAAGCCAGAUGCAGCCAUGCCGCGUUGGUGAAGAAGGCCUUCGGGUUGUAAAGCACUUUCAGCGAGGAGGCGUUACUCGCAGAAGAAGCACCGGCUAAAUCCGUGCCAGCGGCCGCGGUAAUAC
rnacentral:rRNA from 1 species